rnacentral:rRNA from 1 species
UACGUAGGGUGCGAGCGUUGUCCGGAAUUAUUGGGCGUAAAGGGCUCGUAGGCGGUUUGUCACGUCGGGAGUGAAAACUCAGGGCUCAACCCCUGAGCCUGCUUCCGAUACGGGCAGACUAGAGGUAUGCAGGGGAGAACGGAAUUCCUGGUGUAGCGGUGAAAUGCGCAGAUAUCAGGAGGAACACCGGUGGCGAAGGCGGUUCUCUGGGCAUUACCUGACGUGAGGAAGCGAAAGUGUG